UACGAAGGGGGCUAGCGUUGUUCGGAUUUAUGGCUAGGCGAACGUAGCGAGUCGAUCACGCAGGGGUGAAAUCCCAGAGCUCAACUCUGGAACUGCCUUUGAUACUGUCGAUCUGGAGUAUGGAAGAGGUGAGUGGAAUUCCGAGUGUAGAGGUGAAAUUCGUAGAUAUUCGGAGGAACACCAGUGGCGAAGGCGGCUCACUGGUCCAUUACUGACGCUGAGGUGCGAAAGCGUGGGGAGCGAACAGG
rnacentral:rRNA from 1 species